AGGGCCACCGGGUCGACCGCCCGGGUCACCGUCAGGUAGUCACGGAUCGCGAUGCCGUGCCGCGCCUC
rnacentral:sRNA from 18 species